rfam:Myotis lucifugus cont2.10127, whole genome shotgun sequence.
AUAAGGCAGUAAAGAUAGACUCAAGUUCAGACAUUUGGUGUAUAUGCUUGGCUCAGGAGCCAAUGGGGCAAAGCUACUAUCUGUGGGAUUACCACUGAACACCUCUAAGUCAGAAUCGGAGUCUCAGUUGUCCUCAGAUAGCCUGUCUUCUGCCAUGACGUCACGUCACACCCAUGUGGUGUGGCAUGCCCUGCCUUACAUGGGGCCAAGGCCAAUGUGGAGAGCCCCUUAUCCUGGGAAACGGGGUGCUGCUAGAAAGGGGGCCAUCCCUUCACCUGUCAGGCAACACAUGUUCAUGGGGAACCUGGUGCUAAACCAUUCGUAGAGGACCUGCUUCUAGGUCGGAAUUUCAUAGCCGUAGAGCAGCUCCCUUGCUGUAAUCUAUUGAAAAGUCAGCCCUCAACACAAGGUUU